rnacentral:rRNA from 1 species
AAUGGGCGCAAGCCUGACCCAGCCAUGCCGCGUGCAGGAUGACGCCCUAUGGGUUGUAAACUGCUUUUAUAUAGGAAGAAAAUACUCUUGCGAGAGGAUCUGACGGUACUAUAUGAAUAAGGACCGGCUAACUCCGUGCCAGCAGCCGCGGUAAUACGGAGGGUUCAAGCGUUUUCCGGAUUUAUUGGGUUUAAAGAGUGCGUAGGUGGUUUAUUAAGUCAGUGGUGAAAUCUUGCAGCUCAACUGUAGAACUGCCAUUGAUACUGGUAAACUUGAGUUUGGUUUAGGCAAGCGGAAUUUAUGAUGUAGCGGUGAAAUGCAUAGAUAUCAUAAGGAACACCAAUAGCGAAGGCAGCUUACUGGACCACAACUGACACUGAGGCACGAAAGCGUGGGUAGCGAACAGGAUU